CACCCGAUUCUCAAAGGUAAAUAUCAGCUGGUAAUUCUGGGAGCAAUGCCAAAUAUGAAACACUCGGAAUUUCAGUUGGUAUCGACUUUUUUGAAUUG
rnacentral:pre_miRNA from 13 species